CCAAUAGCGUAUACUAAAGUUGUUGCAGUUAAAAAGCUCGUAGUUGAAUUUCGGGAUUGACGUGAUGGUCGUGCCUUACGGGGUAUGAACUGUUGCUGUUGAUUUCUCACCUUCUGGAGAAACUUGAUGUCCUUAAUUGGGUGUCUUGCGGAUCCAGGACCUUUACCUUGAAAAAAUUAGAGUGUUUAAAGCAGGCAUUUUGCUCGAAUACAUUAGCAUGGAAUAAUAGAAUAGGACGGCAUGGUUCUAUUUUGUUGGUUUCUAGGAUCACCGUAAUGAUUAAUAGGGAUAGUUGGGGGCAUUAGUAUCCAAUUGUCAGAGGUGAAAUUCUUGGAUUUAUUGAAGACUAACUACUGCGAAAGCAUUUGCCAAGGAUGUUUUCAUUAAUCAAGAACGAAAGUUAGGGGAUCGAAGACGAUCAGAUACCGUCGCAGUCUUAACCAUAAACUAUGCCGACUAGGAAUCAGACGAUGUUAAUUUUUUAAUGACUCGUUUGGCACCUUACG
rnacentral:rRNA from 1 species